rnacentral:misc_RNA from 1 species
GAUGAAGAACGUAGCGAAAUGCGAUACGUAAUGUGAAUUGCAGAAUUCAGUGAAUCAUCGAAUCUUUGAACGCAUAUUGCGCUCUUUGGUAUUCCGAAGAGCAUGCUUGUUUGAGUAUCAGUAAACACCUCAACCUCUUCUUGAUUUUUCAAAAGGAGGGUGGACUUGAGCUAUCCCAACAACCUUUACCGGUCGGCGGGCGGCUUGAAAUGCAGGUGCAGCUGGACUUUUAUCUGAGCUAAAAGCAUAUCUAUUUAGUCCUCGUCAAACAGGAUUAUUACUUUUGCUGCAGCUAACAUAAAGGAUAACUGUCCUCUUUGCUGACUGAUGCAGGAUUUUACGACACUUUAUGUGUUGUUCAACUCGAUCUCAAAUCAAGUAAGACUACCCGCUGAACUUAAGCAUAUCAAUAAGCGGAGGA